UGUGUGUGUGUUUGCAUAUUGAGUGCUGUGAGUGUUUAUAGUGCUGUGAGUUGAACACUUCAUCACUGACACACACAUCAAUCUUCAUCAUCAUGACCUUCAUCAUCAUCUUCAUCUGGACUCUGUCAUACAGCUUCACACUGCGAGGAUGUGCAGCUCAGAUCACAGUGACUCAAAUUCCAGUGGAACCUGUUAAACCUGGAGAAAAUGUUCAGAUGAGCUGCAAACUCAGUCAACCUGCACCCUGCAGCCCAAAGCCCUGUGUGUCCUGGUACUUACAGAAACCUGGAGAAGAUCCUAAACUCCUGAUUUAUGUAACAAGCUACCGUUAUUCAGGAACUGCAUCUAGAUUCAGUGGCAGUGGAUCUAAUGUUGAUUUCACUCUGAGCAUCAGUGGAGUCCAGACUGAAGAUGCUGGACAUUAUUACUGUCAGAGUUACCACAGUGGUGGUGUGCUCACACAGUGAUAAAGAGUGAUACAAAAACCUCCGUCAGUCAGUCAGAGUCACCGAGACUGAUCAGAUCUGUCAUGAGCAGAAGUGAAAGUGUGAGUUUGGUGUGUAAAUCUGCUUUGCAUUGUGAGCUUCAGUGAUUCUGCUGGUCUCAGAUCAGUGCAGCUCCGUCUCCAGUGAGCAGAUCAAACCCCAAGAGCUUCAUUUGACUUCAUUUCCUGCUCAAUGCAGCUCUUCUCCACUAUUACAACCAGGAGAAGCAGCUGAAGCUUUAGUGAAAGACUCUGAAUGAACGACACACAAAUUACAGGGGGUUUGACCGCCUUAAUUAUAAUGCUUGAUCCCCCAGAGCCACGUCAACACAAGAUGUGUGUGCUCAGCCAUUUAAAUAGGGAGAAACACUUUCACUGAUCUGUAUCUUAAAUAAUAAUAUUAAUAACUCAAAUAACAGAUCAUAUGACUACAGAUUUGACCCCCAUAACGGCUCAUACCAUUGUGAAUGCAUGAUAGAGGUCCAAAAUUGCACCCUUAAAUUUGUACACACUGAGUGAGAUGUUUUGUCAGUGUUUUAGUUUAAAUGUGAUUAUAGACUUUUUAACUAAUUGGAUUUUAUUGUUUUAAUUUUAACCUGUCCAGAGACUGCAGGUGGAAAUUAGCAAUCCUGCUACAACCUGGCACAAUGCAUCUUUCCUCCUGGUUAAUGUAAUUUUUGUGCAUUGUCCCUGUUAAAUAAAUAAAUUUAUAAAUUCA